AUGAGGGAGGAAGGGCUGCGGACGAUGGCGGAGGACGCGCCGGGCACCAGCGGCCGGCGGCGGCUGACGCGCGUCCGCACGCUCGGCCGGGGCGCGUCCGGCGCCGUCGUGUCGCUCUUCGCGGCCGGCGACGGCGACGAGCUGCUCGCGGUCAAGUCGGCCGGAGCCGCCGACGCGCAGGCGCUGCUGCGGCGGGAGGGCGGCAUCCUGGCCUCCCUCUGCUCGCCCUACGUGCUCCCCUGCCUCGGCUCCCGCGCCGCGGCCGGCGGGGAGUACCAGCUCUUCCUCGAGUUCGCGCCCGGCGGCUCGCUCGCCGACGAGGUCGAGCGCAACGGCGGCUGCCUCGAGGAAGGCGCCGUCCGCGCCUACGCGGCCGACGUGGCCAGGGGCCUCGCGUACCUCCACGGGGAGUCCAUGGUCCACGGCGACGUCAAGGGCCGGAACGUGGUCAUCGGCGCCGACGGCUGGGCCAAGCUCGCGGACUUCGGGUGCGCCCGGAGCGUGGGCUCGGCGGGGCCGAUUGGGGGCACGCCGGCGUUCAUGGCGCCUGAGGUGGUGCGAGGGGAGGAGCAGGGCCCGGCCGCCGACGUCUGGGCCCUGGGCUGCACCGUCAUCGAGAUGGCCACCGGCCGCGCCCCCUGGAGCCACAUGGACGACGUGGUCGCGGCGGUGCGCCUCAUCGGGUACACGGACGCCGUGCCGGAGGCGCCCGAGCGCCUGUCGUCGGAGGCCAAGGACUUCCUUGACAAGUGCCUCAGGCGGUGCGCCGGCGAGCGGUGGACCGCGGAGCAGCUGCUGGAGCACCCGUUCUUGGCGUUCGCCGGCUGUGGCGCCGACGUCGAGUCGGCUGAGCUGAAGGGCAAGUGGGUCUCCCCCAAGAGCACAUUGGACGCUGCAAUGUGGGAAUCUGACGCCGACGAGGAUGAGAACGUGCCCGAUGAUGACACGGCCGAGAGGAUGAAGGCAUUGGCGGCCUUCUGCUCGGUCUUGCCGGACUGGGAGUCCGACGACGGCUGGAUCGAUGUAUUGAGCUGCCAAUCUGAGACGCCGGCCGAGCAGUCCUGCAGUGAAGCUCCCGAUUCGCCGGCGGCCGCGCCGGCUGAGGAGGCCAAUGUAUAUAUUUGGGAUGAUGAAAGAGUAGAAGCAGAAUCAGGAGUAGAAGAAGCUGGAGUCGUUGGUGCUGCCGUGCCGGUGGCCGCGGCGCCGCCUGAAGAGACGGCGUACGAUUACGACGAAGGCUUCCGGGACGAAGAAUCGUCGUUACUGCUGGAAGCAGAGUUUGACGCCGAGGCUUUCGACGUCGGCGGCGAGCUCGUUGUGCAUAAUGUAGGAGUAGCCGAUGAAGCUUUAGUGAAUCAGCAGCAGGAAGAUGUACAUUCGUCGGAUUCGAUCGCUAGCGAUCCGGCUGUAGUUAGUGUUGAUAGCGGUGAAAAAGAAAUACUGCCAGUAAAGUCGUUGAAGAUGCCAAAUUUGCUCUAUUUCUCGCUUCGUUUUCCUCUGUUACUUUCGCAUUUUUACACCAUGUCAGAUCAGAUCACAACGUGCACCACAAGAUCACCUGGGCUAUCACGGCGUUGA
rnacentral:rRNA from 1 species